rnacentral:tRNA from 1 species
UCCGGGGUGGUCUAACGGUAGCGACGCCUGUCUUUGGAACAGGAGGUGGGGGUUCGACUCCCUCGCCCGGAG